GCUGUAGCUCAGUGGUAGAGCGCUUGCCUACCAUGCAACAAGGCCCUGAGUUCAAUCUCUAGCACUGCA
rnacentral:tRNA from 1 species